rnacentral:rRNA from 1 species
UACGAAUGUCGCACGCGUUAUCCUGAUUUAUUUGGCGUAAAGCGCGUCUAGGCGGAAAAAUAAGUCUGAUGUUAAAAUUCGGGGCUCAACUCCGUAUUGCGUUGGAAACUGUUUUUCUAGAGUACUGGAGAGGUGGGCGGAACUACAAGUGUAGAGGUGAAAUUCGUAGAUAUUUGUAGGAAUGCCGAUGGAGAAGUCAGCUCACUGGACAGAUACUGACGCUAAAGCGAGAAAGCGUGGGGAGCAAACAGG